AUGUGUCACUUUAGGUAUGUUUGUAUUUUUGGUGGAUUUUGGACGCCCGACUUUUACUCUUCCCAUACAGCAAUCGCUUCACGUUCCCUAUUGCCUCUCUCUAUCCUUUUCAGUUUGUAAACUCAAAAGGUUUCAUCUGUGUUAUUUCUUUGGAGCUUGUCCUUACCUUUCAUGGCAGCCUGCGGCAUCCUCUGCGAAGUAAACACACUGGAAGCACGUCCGAGGCUCCGAGACCAGGUGUAAUUGUCUACAACGAGUGCAAAGGAAGUAUAUUUGGAGCUUAAUGAAUCAAUUUUGGAAGCUAAGGAACCCACCCAAGGAAGAUAGGAUCAGCGAAGCACGAACAGGGCGAAAAGCAAAAGAAGGAGCUGCCUCACGCCCACCCACACGACCGUGAGGCCACUAAAACCCAAACAAGACCCGCGAUCACCUCACGACCAAGCUCAUGACUGUGAGGUAGCUAGGCCAUGGGGUCUGCAUAGAAUUCUAUUUAAGCAGCAUAUUUUCUGCAAUUUUGGAGAUUUCAAACCUUAGACUUGUUUAGAUUAUUUUUUUCUCUUCUCUUUAGAUUUCCCUAUCAUAGUUUAGCUUAGUUUUACAUAGAUUUCUUUAAUUUCAAGCUUGGAUUGCGGAUUGGAGUUGGAUUUCUUCUUCUUAAUUAGUAAAGCUUUCUCUUUCCCUUA